GACGAACGCUGGCGGCGUGCCUAAUACAUGCAAGUCGAACGCAUUUUCUUUCACCGUAGCUUGCUACACCGAAAGAAAAUGAGUGGCGAACGGGUGAGUAACACGUUGGUAACCUGCCCAUCAGCGGGGGAUAACACUUGGAAACAGGUGCUAAUACCGCAUAAUUCCAUUUACUGCAUGGUAGAUGGAUGAAAGGCGCUUUUGCGUCACUGAUGGAUGUACCCGCGGUGCAUUAGCUAGUUGGUGGUGUAACGGCCUACCAAGGCUGCGAUGCAUAGCCGACCUGAGAGGGGGAUCGGCCACAAUGGGAAUGGGACAAGGCCCAGACUUCUAAGGGAGGCAGCAGUAGGGGAUCUUCGGCAAUGGACGCAAGUCUGACCGAGCAACGCCGCGUGAGUGAAGAAGGUUUUCGGAUCGUAAAACUCUGUUGUUAGAAAAGAACAAGGAUGAGAGUGGAAAGUUCAUCCCUUGACGGUAUCUAACCAGAAAGCCACGGCUAACUACGUG
rnacentral:rRNA from 1 species